UAGGCGUAAAUGAUGCGAGUUAAGUGUGGGGGCGAUCUACGAGAUGGCCCUGUGCUGUAGGGUAGCCGUUAAACUCGCUGCCUGGGGAGGUACGGUCGCAAGGCUGAAACUUAAAGGAAUUGGCGGGGGGAGGCACCACAAGAGGUGGAGGCUGCGGUUCAAUUGGACUCAACGCCGGAAACUCAUCGGGAGCGACAGCAGUAUGAUUGCCAGGUUGAUGACCUUGCUUGACAAGCUGAGAGGUGGUGCAUGGCGUAGUCGUGU
rnacentral:rRNA from 1 species